AGUGAACGCUGGCGGUAGGCCUAACACAUGCAAGUCGAACGGCAGCACAGUAAGAGCUUGCUCUUACGGGUGGCGAGUGGCGGACGGGUGAGGAAUACAUCGGAAUCUACUUUUUCGUGGGGGAUAACGUAGGGAAACUUACGCUAAUACCGCAUACGACCUACGGGUGAAAGCAGGGGAUCUUCGGGCCUUGCGCGAUUGAAUGAGCCGAUGUCGGAUUAGCUAGUUGGCGGGGUAAAGGCCCACCAAGGCGACGAUCCGUAGCUGGUCUGAGAGGAUGAUCAGCCACACUGGAACUGAGACACGGUCCAGACUCCUACGGGAGGCAGCAGUGGGGAAUAUUGGACAAUGGGCGCAAGCCUGAUCCAGCCAUACCGCGUGGGUGAAGAAGGCCUUCGGGUUGUAAAGCCCUUUUGUUGGGAAAGAGAAGCAGCAGGUUAAUACCCCGCUGUUCUGACGGUACCCAAAGAAUAAGCACCGGCUAACUUCGUG
rnacentral:rRNA from 1 species